rnacentral:rRNA from 1 species
UACGGAGGAUCCAAGCGUUAUCCGGAUUCAUUGGGUUUAAAGGGUGCGUAGGCGGAAUGAUAAGUCAGUGGUGAAAGCCUGCAGCUUAACUGCAGAACUGCCAUUGAUACUGUCAAUCUUGAGUACAUUUGAUGUGGGCGGAAUGUGUCAUGUAGCGGUGAAAUGCUUAGAUAUGACACAGAACACCGAUUGCGAAGGCAGCUCACAAAACUGUAACUUGACGCUGAGGCACGAAAGCGUGGGUAUCAAACAGGAAUUAGA